rnacentral:rRNA from 1 species
AGUGAACGCUGGCGGUAGGCCUAACACAUGCAAGUCGAACGGCAGCACAGUAAGAGCUUGCUCUUACGGGUGGCGAGUGGCGGACGGGUGAGGAAUACAUCGGAAUCUACUUUUUCGUGGGGGAUAACGUAGGGAAACUUACGCUAAUACCGCAUACGACCUACGGGUGAAAGCAGGGGAUCUUCGGACCCUGCGCGAUUGAAUGAGCCGAUGUCGGAUUAGCUAGUUGGCGGGGUAAAGGCCCACCAAGGCGACGAUCCGUGGCUGGUCUGAGAGGAUGAUCAGCCACACUGGAACUGAGACACGGUCCAGACUCCUACGGGAGGCAGCAGUGGGGAAUAUUGGACAAUGGGCGCAAGCCUGAUCCAGCCAUACCGCGUGGGUGAAGAAGGCCUUCGGGUUGUAAAGCCCUUUUGUUGGGAAAGAAAAGCAGCAGGUUAAUACCCCGCUGUUCUGACGGUACCCAAAGAAUAAGCACCGGCUAACUUCGUG